GGGUGAGUCGUAGCUAGUAGUUAGGAGAGCUUUUAUGUAGCCGAGUUAGUAAUCUUAGGACUGUGUCCAUAUAUAGGAGCAACUGGUUAGGAGAGUUUGGGUGUGGUGGGUGUCUUUGAUCUGUGAGUGUAUGGUACUACUGUAUGGGAGUCUUUGGUCUGUGAGUGUAUGGUACUACUGUGUGGGUAUCUUAUUUCUCUUAUCUCUUAUUUCUCUUAUUCUAUUUUUAUUAUUUCUUAUUUCUGUUAUGUCAUCCAUCCUGUUUGAUGUUUCAUUGUGACUUUGUUUACUAUUCUUUAUCUUGAUCCGGGGGUCUAUCGAAAAUAGCCUCUCUACUUUUUCGAAGGUAGCGUUAUGGACUGCGUACAUUUUAU
rnacentral:lncRNA from 1 species